rnacentral:rRNA from 1 species
AGCGAACGCUGGCGGCAGGCUUAACACAUGCAAGUCGAGCGGGCAUCCUUGUGGUGUCAGCGGCAGACGGGUGAGUAACGCGUGGGAACGUGCCCUUCGGUUCGGAAUAACUCAGGGAAACUUGAGCUAAUACCGGAUACGUGCGAGAGCAGAAAGGUUUAUCUGCCGAAGGAUCGGCCCGCGUCUGAUUAGCUAGUUGGUGAGGUUAUGGCUCACCAAGGCGACGAUCAGUAGCUGGUCUGAGAGGAUGAUCAGCCACACUGGGACUGAGACACGGCCCAGACUCCUACGGGAGGCAGCAGUGGGGAAUAUUGGACAAUGGGGGCAACCCUGAUCCAGCCAUGCCGCGUGAGUGAUGACGGCCUUAGGGUUGUAAAGCUCUUUUCUCCGGGACGAUAAUGACGGUACCGGAGGAAUAAGCCCUGGCUAACUUCGUG